AUGAAAGGCCCUUUAGAAGUGCAAAGUAUUAUGAUCUGUUUCGCCUUUGAAGAUCAACUCACGCGGUGGCUACUGAGACGUUUCCAACCAGGAAGCUCCCAAAAAGUUUUCAUCUGAAUACAAAAAUCCAUAAAGAAUCUCGGCAGGAAAGGAGCAGCCGGUUCAGAGCUGGUGUUAGUGAGCGAAACUGUUGAAGACGACAGAGUUGCACCGACUUACAUCAGGAGAUGCUGGCAGCACACGUUACAGGCAGGUCUGGUUUGGCCUCAGUACUGCCAGAGCAGCUGCUGACGGGAAUGAUUAGGAUUGCUAGAUGUCUACCCGGAUCCCAGGACAAGGCUACUUCACAGAAGGGCUUGAAUUGCAGUGACAGGACCACAAAGUUGCAGAGCUGCAGACGAAAUUGAGGGCGACACCCAGAAGUGUAAAUUCACUUGACUGGAGCAGCAGCACUGAGAUGCACAUAGGUAGGUGAAAUUCGUGCACAGCUGCCGGGGGGGAUACAGCUUGUGGCUUUGCUUCCUGAGCUUAGUCUUCGACCUCUCU